rnacentral:rRNA from 1 species
UACAGAGGUCUCAAGCGUUGUUCGGAUUCAUUGGGCGUAAAGGGCGCGUAGGCGGCGGGGUAAGUCUGGUGUGAAAUCUCGGAGCUCAACUCCGAAAUUGCACUGGAUACUGCUCUGCUAGAGGGCUGGAGAGGAGAUCGGAAUUCACGGUGUAGCAGUGAAAUGCGUAGAUAUCGUGAGGAAGACCAGUGGCGAAAGCGGCUCUCUGGGACGGUACUGACGCUGAGACGCGAAAGCGUGGGGAGCAAACAGG